CCGGGAGUGUGAUGGUUGGGACAUGGCACCUCCUCGUGAAAGAAUGGCUCUCUGUUCGCCUCCCUUUCUCACUUCGUAAUGGUGCUUGCUAACAACCUAAUAUUUCAAGUGUAUGUGUGCACACACAGAGGCUCAAACAGUAUGGACUCUCUUCUCUCCUUCUCUGACAGUCUACUUCUUUGUGUGUGGGAUCUUGGACCAAUGAGGAUUCACUAUGGGCGGAGCUACCCAGUGUGACAUCAUGGAAACAGAAGCCAAACGCCUGGAAGUGUUCGUGUCACAGGCCAUUUCACUAUGACAGGGAGUAUCUUACAGAGAAAAUGCAGUAUGUUUGAAAAUAUUUGAGACCUCAUCACAAUAUCAGAGAGAACAUGUGGAUACUCCGCCAAAAGCCUCCUGCAUUUUUGAUGACUCGACCUUCUGUCCUCUUCUGGAGAUGAAGUGUCUCAUAAGGAGAGGGGAGUAUUCGUUCUCGCUGUAUUUAUACAGGCCUUCCGAUGAGAGAAUGUAUUGAGGCAGGAGAGGUGAUUGGACUCUGGCGUAUAUUUCCCCUGCGUCUCCCUUCAGCAUGUCAUUCUUUAUCAGUAAUCACCUUAGAGGGCAGCGUGGCACUCGUUUGCGAGAUGCUGACCUCCUUUGCACUGAGAGGCAGUGGACAGUGGGCCCAUCCAUAAUGCUGCGAUGCAUUACUGGCGGUAACAUGAAGUGUAGUCGCCCCUUUCAGGCACUAGUGUUCAAGUGCGAGGCCUGGAGAAAAACACCUCUUGGGACCCAUCAAAACUCAGACUGGUUCUGUGUGUC
ensembl:lncRNA